rnacentral:rRNA from 1 species
UACGAAGGGGGCUAGCGUUGUUCGGAAUCACUGGGCGUAAAGAGCUCGUAGGCGGUCUGUCGCGUCGGAUGUGAAAACCCAGGGCUCAACCCUGGGCCUGCAUUCGAUACGGGCAGACUAGAGUUCGGUAGGGGAGACUGGAAUUCCUGGUGUAGCGGUGAAAUGCGCAGAUAUCAGGAGGAACACCGGUGGCGAAGGCGGGUCUCUGGGCCGAAACUGACGCUGAGGAGCGAAAGCGUGGGGAGCAAACAGG